rnacentral:lncRNA from 1 species
CCAUACGCUGGAGCUGGGUCAUGUGCUGGAGAUUGAUUCGGCGGGGCCCAUGUGAGGAAUGUGCAGUUUAUGUGAAGCGCUGCGCGGACUGCUGGACUUGGAGCGAGCUUGGUGGACUGUCCAAGCUUGAAUGUGUGGAUCCAUGGGCUGUCCAUAAGCGGCCCAAGUGCUUGAAUAUUAAGCUUCAAAAUAUUUUUCCCAUAUUUGACUUGAAUC